GUGCACACUUCAACAGCACACACAUACACUAAAACUUGAGGGAUACAGAGAAGAGUAGAUGGCCCCUGAACAAGGAUGAAACACAAAUUCAUGAAGUGUUUCAUAUUUAA